CACGUAGUUAGCCGUGGCUUUCUCACAGAGUACCGUCACUUUCUUCUUCCUCUGCGACAGAAGUUUACAACCCGAAGGCCCGUCAUCCUUCACGCGGCGUUGCUGCGUCAGGGUUUCCCCCAUUGCGCAAAUAUUCCCCACUGCUGCCUCCCGUAGGAGUCUGGGCCGUGUCUCAGUCCCAAUGUGGCCGAUCAACCUCUCAGUUCGGCUACUGAUCGUCGACUAGGUGGGCCGUUACCCCGCCUACUAUCUAAUCAGACGCGAGUCCAUCUGUAAGCGAUAAAUCUUUCAAAGCUUCCCAUGCGGAAAAACUUCAAUAUGCGGUAUUAGCACAGAUUUCUCUGUGUUAUCCCCCUCUUACAGGCAGGUUACUCACGCGUUACUCACCCGUCCGCCGCUCUCCACAAAAGACUUCACCCCGAAGGGAUCAGUCUCUUGUUUCCCGCUCGACUUGCAUGUGUUAGGCACGCCGCCAGCGUCGUCUCGUGCGCGAGUCAACGUACUCUAC
rnacentral:rRNA from 1 species